CCCUACGGGGUGCAGCAGGCGCGAAAACUUUACAAUGCUGGCAACAGCGAUAAGGGAACCUCGAGUGCCAGGUUACAAUCUGGCUGUCGAGAUGCCUAAAAAGCAUUUCAUAGCAAGGGCCGGGCAAGACCGGUGCCAGCCGCCGCGGUAACACCGGCGGCUCGAGUGGUAACCGUUAUUAUUGGGUCUAAAGGGUCUGUAGCCGGCCGGAUAAGUCUCUUGAGAAAUCUGGCAGCUUAACUGUCAGGCUUUCAGGAGAUACUGUCUGGCUCGAGGCCGGGAGAGGUGAGAGGUACUUCAGGGGUAGGGGUGAAAUCUUGUAAAUCCUUGAAGGACCACCAGUGGCGAAGGCGUCUCACCAGAACGGACCUGACGGCAAGGGACGAAAGCUAGGGGCACGAACCGGAUUAGAUACCCGGGUAGUCCUAGCCGUAAACGAUACUCGCUAGGUGUCGGCCACGGUGCGACCGUUGUCGGUGCCGUAGGGAAGCCGUGAAGCGAGCCACCUGGGAAGUACGGCCGCAAGGCUGAAACUUAAAGGAAUUGGCGGG
rnacentral:rRNA from 1 species